GUUUUGUAUUUUUCACCUCUCUAUAAUGUAACCUUGGCAUAGUCUCAUGACUAUGUAAGAUAUAUGUAGGAUAUUAGUUGUAAUUUAGAAUGUUUGAACAUUUUUAACAGAACUGUAUUAGUAUCUCCUGUAGCCAGACAAAAUUAAUUAUUUGGAUUGGAAAAGUCUUUUGGUGAGAAACUUUCCCCUUUCCAAUGAUUUUUUUUUAAAAAAAAAAAGAAAACAAAAAGAUUCCCCAUGAUUAUAACCCAUCCCAUGUUGUCCACAGAUCAUCUCCUUCCGAGCUUGUUCAGUGCCUUGCAUAGGAGAGCAUGAACUGAGAAAUAGAAAUCUCAGAUGCUGCUAUGAUGCUGUCAAAUGUGGGCUUUUGCAUAUCUAAUAGGGGGAUCUGACUCUUGUUCUUAUAUUCGUUAAAUAACAGUCUUAGUGGAAUUAUUUCUUAAUUUAAAUAACGCAGAUCACUUACAUGAGUAAUUAGAGAUGUAGGGAUGUAGUAGCUUAGUCCUAGCAGACUCUGUAUAAUUCCAUUGUCUUGUACUGUGGUUUAAAUUUUCAGUGUCUAUUUGCCAUGCAAAAGAGCUAACAUAUUUGCAUUAGAAACAAAUUGUUAUUCUUGGAGCUUCAGAUUAGAGCAAGAGUUUAAUUGCUGCCAUCGUUUUUUUGUGUGUGUAUUCUGUUCUUUAUUUGAUGUAAAGUUAGAAGUGUAUUUUAAGAGGAGCUCAUUUUAGAUAGAACUAUAAGAUGAAUCUUAAAACACAUUUUCAUGUGGAUGUUUAAAGUGGAUGGAAACUGGUCGAUACUGAGUUUUCAUAGCAACACAUUUAAAAUUGCCUUAAUGGAGUUAAAAGCAUGUGUGUGUUUUUUCCUUGAUUCCAGGUAAAAUGAAAUUCUUCAUAACCUUUGGCCAUCUUUAACAGAGGAAAUUUUAGAUUCUGUUAGGUAAAAGGUGCUGUUUUAUUUUCCCUUGAGUAUAUCAAAGAUAUACAAAUAGAUAUUUAGUUAUACUCAUUAAUAUACAUUACUACAGAAAUUAAAACUGAUAAUUAAAGAUGUAUAUUUUCUAUUUAAAGUGAAUAUGUUUACAUUUUCCCCCCUUUAUAAAGGAUUUUUUCUUUCAAAUUUGUGAUUUCAAAUAGAGGAACAAGGGAGACACAUAAGUUAAGAGAAGCAGAUAUAUUCCUGCACUGCAUGUCCCAGUAACUGGCUGCAAAAUCUGGAGUGAGAGGUGGUUUCUUGGUCUCUUUCGCUCAUUACCACCAGUAAAUAACUUAGUGGCUGUUUUAUUAGCAGUUACAAGACGUAAAAAUAUCAAUUGUAAUAAUACUAACAUUUUAAAUCCCAGGUAUGUAUCCAAUUAUAAAAUACCUUAUAAAACUUGUCUAACCAGAGCUGUGUGGAUUCUCCUUAUUAAUUGAAGUUUAAUUUCAGUUAAUUCUUAACGUACUUACUCAUUUUCCUUUCAGUUGUAAUCUCUAGGGAAUUCUAAGUAUCAAGCGUUUUUAAUACGAAUUAAAUUCAGAAAACAAAACAGAGAUAGAAGAGGAUACUAAAUACAGUGAAAAAUAACCAGAAAAUGUAUAGUGUUUAUAGAUAGUUUUUUAGAGACUUUUUUUUUUAAAUCAUAAACUAUCCUGAUGCUGCUUAGGACCUGAAUCUGGUAGAAUAUAUUUUUCUUUAUUUACAAAUAAUCAGUUUAUGGAUGGAAUCCUGGCAAAUUAGGAUGUUCUAUUUGCAGGCUCACAUAAAUUCUAAAACUUCUAAGUAUUUCUAGGAUCUUUGGCUACUUAACUGAAGGCUACCUGUAGAAUGAGGACUAAAAUGUGUAUCAACCUCUGGCUGGAAGCCACAAACAGUUGU
rnacentral:lncRNA from 1 species